rnacentral:rRNA from 1 species
UACGGAGGGAGCGAGCGUUGUUCGGAUUUACUGGGCGUAAAGCGUGCGUAGGUGGUUUUCUAAGUUAGAAGUGAAAGCCCAGGGCUCAACCUUGGAACGGCUUUUAAGACUGGAUCACUAGAAUGUGGGAGAGGUAAGCGGAAUUCCGAGUGUAGAGGUGAAAUUCGUAGAUAUUCGGAGGAACACCAAUGGCGUAAGCAGCUUACUGGAACACUAUUGACACUGAGGCACGAAAGCGUGGGGAGCAAACAGG